GACGAACCGUGCGAACGUUAUUCGGAAUCACUGGGCUUAAAGCGCGUGUAGGCGGGUCAGCACGUCGGUUGCUGAAAUCCCCCGGCUCAACCGGGGAACGGGCACCGAUACGACUGGCCUGGAGGGGAGUAGGGGGACCUGGAACUUCCGGUGGAGCGGUGAAAUGCGUUGAGAUCGGAAGGAACGCCCGUGGCGAAAGCGAGGUCCUGGGCUCCUGCUGACGCUGAGACGCGAAAGCCAGGGGAGCGAACGGG
rnacentral:rRNA from 1 species